AUUGAACGCUGGCGGCAUGCCUAAUACAUGCAAGUCGAACGGGUGGCGGACGGGUGAGCAAUUUCUGGGAAACUUCCUGAUGUACGGGUAUAACUACUGGAAACGUUAGCUACUACUGCAUACGAUCAUAUGUGCCCAGAUGGGAUUAGCUUGUGGGUGGGGUAACGGCUCACCAAGGCGACGAGCCCUAGCUGGUCUGAGAGGAUGACCCGCCACACUGGAACUGAGACACGGUCCAGACGCCUACGGGAGGCAGCAGUGGGGAAUAUUGGACAAUGGGCGCAAGCCUGAUGGAGCAAGGCCGCGUGUAUGAAGAAGGCCUUCGGGUUGUAAAGUACUUUCAGCAGGGAAGCGUUACCCGCAGAGGAAGCAACGGCUAACUCCGUGCCAGCAGCCGCGGUAAUUC
rnacentral:rRNA from 1 species